ACGGAGAGUUUGAUCCUGGCUCAGGAUGAACGCUGGCGGCGUGCCUAACACAUGCAAGUCGAACGAUUAAGACGCCUUCGGGCGUGCAUAGAGUGGCGAACGGGUGAGUAACACGUGACCAACCUGCCCCCUACCCCGGGAUAACGCAAGGAAACCUGCGCUAAUACCGGAUACUCCUUCCCCUGCUCCUGCAGGGGUCGGGAAAGCCCAGACGGUAGGGGAUGGGGUCGCGGCCCAUUAGGUAGACGGCGAGGUAAUAGCUCACCGUGCCUGCGAUGGGUAGCCGGGUUGAGAGACCGACCGGCCACAUUGGGACUGAGAUACGGCCCAGACUCCUACGGGAGGCAGCAGUGGGGAAUUUUGCGCAAUGGGGGGAACCCUGACGCAGCAACGCCGCGUGCGGGAUGAAGGCCUUCGGGUUGUAAACCGCUUUCAGCAGGGAAGAUAGUGACGGUACCUGCAGAAGAAGCCCCGGCUAACUACGUGCCAGCAGCCGCGGUAAUACGUAGGGGGCGAGCGUUAUCCGGAUUCAUUGGGCGUAAAGCGCGCGUAGGCGGCCCGUCAAGCGGAACCUCUAACCCGAGGGCUCAACCCCCGGUCGGGUUCCGAACUGGCAGGCUCGAGUUUGGUAGAGGAAGAUGGAAUUCCCGGUGUAGCGGUGGAAUGCGCAGAUAUCGGGAAGAACACCGAUGGCGAAGGCAGUCUUCUGGGCCAUCAACUGACGCUGAGGCGCGAAAGCUGGGGGAGCGAACAGGAUUAGAUACCCUGGUAGUCCCAGCCGUAAACGAUGGGUGCUAGGUGUGGGGGGAUCAUCCCUCCGUGCCGCAGCCAACGCAUUAAGCACCCCGCCUG
rnacentral:rRNA from 1 species